rnacentral:rRNA from 1 species
AUUGAACGCUGGCGGCAUGCUUUACACAUGCAAGUCGAACGGUAACAGGCCUUCGGGUGCUGACGAGUGGCGAACGGGUGAGUAAUGCAUCGGAACGUACCCAGAGGUGGGGGAUAACGCAGCGAAAGCUGUGCUAAUACCGCAUGUGAUCUGAGGAUGAAAGCGGGGGACCGAGCAGCAAUGUUUGGCCUCGCGCCUUUGGAGCGGCCGAUGUGGGAUUAGCUAGUUGGUGGGGUAAAGGCCUACCAAGGGGGCGAUCCGUAGCCGGUCUGAGAGGACGGUCGGCCGCAUGAGGGGUUGAGCAGGGACCAGGCGACUACGGGAAGGCACAGUGGGGAAAUUUAGGCAAUGGGGGGGAACCUUGUACAAGAAGGGCGCGGGCGGGGAAGAAGCCCUGCGGGUGGGAAGCCGGUUUUGGGGGGAAGAAACGGUUUCCGCUGAUACCGGGCGCUAAUGACGGUACCUGCAGAAUAAGCACCGGCUAACUACGUG